AUGAGCCGCGAGACUUACCUGGUCUUGACAUCCACGGAAGUUUUCAGAGAUGAGAAGGUGCCUUCGGGAACCGUGAGACAGGUGCUGCAUGGCUGUCGUCAGCUCGUGUUGUGAAAUGUUGGGUUAAGUCCCGCAACGAGCGCAACCCUUAUCCUUUGUUGCCAGCGGUCCGGCCGGGAACUCAAAGGAGACUGCCAGUGAUAAACUGGAGGAAGGUGGGGAUGACGUCAAGUCAUCAUGGCCCUUACGACCAGGGCUACACACGUGCUACAAUGGCGCAUACAAAGAGAAGCGACCUCGCGAGAGCAAGCGGACCUCAUAAAGUGCGUCGUAGUCCGGAUUGGAGUCUGCAACUCGACUCCAUGAAGUCGGAAUCGCUAGUAAUCGUGGAUCAGAAUGCCACGGUGAAUAUUUCUCCCCGGGCA
rnacentral:rRNA from 1 species